rnacentral:tmRNA from 2 species
GGGGACGACAUGGCUUCGACGCCGGUUGCGAACCCUUGGGUGCAUGUCGAGAUGGCAGCGAAUCUCGUAAAUCCAAAGCUGCUUUAAAAUAGUCGCAAACGACGAAAACUACGCACUGGCAGCGUAAGCUGCCGGUCGUCCUGGCUGGGGCGCCUAUAACCCAGUAGCAACAUCCCAGGACGUCAUCGCUUAUAGGAUGCUCUAUCAGUCAGAGCUCACUGGCUGAUAGCUAAGAUAUAAAGAGCUCGCCUCUUGCGCCCUGACCUUCGGGCCGCUUGAGGUUAAAUCAAUAGAAGGAAACUAAGCAUGUAGAUCUCAAGGCAGAGUACUGGCGGACGCGGGUUCGAUUCCCGCCGUCUCCACCA